CACAUGCAAGUCGAACGGUAACAGAGGAAGCUUGCUUCCUGCUGACGAGUGGCGCACGGGUGAGUAAUGUAUAGCUAACCUGCCCUUUAGCGGGGGACAACAGUUGGAAACGACUGCUAAUACCCCAUAUGCCUCUAACACAUAAGUGUGCGAGGGAAAGUUUUUCGCUAAAGGAUGGGGCUGUAUCCUAUCAGCUUGUUGGUGAGGUAACGGCUCACCAAGGCUAUGACGGGUAGCUGGUCUAAGAGGAUGAUCAGCCACACUGGAACUGAGACGCGGUCCCAACUCCUACGGGAGGCAGCAGUCUAGAAAUUUGGGCAAUGGGCGCAAGUCUGACCCAGCGACGCCGCGUGAGGGAUGAAGUCCUUCGGGAUGUAAACCUCUGUUGAGGGGGACGAUAAUGACGGUACCCCUCGAGGAAGCCUCGGCUAACUCCGUGCCAGCAGCCGCGGUAAUACGGAGGAGGCAAGCGUUGUCCGGAAUCACUGGGCGUAAAGGGUGUGUAGGUGUCCUGAUGGGUCAGGUGUGAAAUCCAACAGCUUAACUGUUGAACUGCAUCUGAAACUAUCGGGAUUGAGGACAUGAGGGGAGAGUGGAACUCGCGGUGUAGCGGUAGAAUGCGUGGAUAUCGCGAGGAAUGCCGAUGGCGAAGGCGGCUCUCUAGCGUGUUCCUCGUAUGAGGAGCCGAAUAAUUUUAAUCUUCGGGUUAUGAUUA
rnacentral:rRNA from 1 species